rnacentral:lncRNA from 1 species
ACCACUUCAGCAUUUACUUAGAACUCUCUGCUUCCCAUCAUACUCAGACUAAGCUGAACUGGAGUUAAGAACGCAAAAGAUUCUUCAAAAUCAAACUGUGUCCGGAAUUGGUGGGUUCUUGGUCUCACUGACUUCAAGAAUGAAGCCACGGACCCUGGCGGUGAGUGUUACAGCUCUUAAGGUGGCGUUUCUGGAGUCUGUCCCUUCUGAUGUUCAGAUGUGUUCGGAGUUUCUUCCUUCUGGUGGGUUCGUGGUCUCGCUGGCUCAGGAGUGAAGCUGCAGAUCUUCACGGUUGCUAGUAACACAAUAAUAAAGCUGCUUUAUUUUCCAGUGAAGAUGUAUGUGAUAGGGAGUGGAGGAAGAAAAAGGCCAGAAAAUUCCAUAGUUAGCAAAUAUACCUUUCUUACUUAAAAUUCUUUUUCCAAUGUGAGCCUUCUAAAGAGUUACUGAGAAAUUAGGUGAGCUCACCUCAUUUAAUGCAAUAGAUAUGUUUCUGAAAAAUAAGCAAUACAUAGGACAUUGGCCAAUUAAGAAUUCUGAUGAAGAAGAAUUUUCACAUCCGAAAGAGUAAAAAUGAAAAACGGUACAAAUGUAGUGGCUUUUAAAUUUCAAAACAAAUUAUUUUGAUAAGAUAAAUAUUCCUCUCAUAAAGUGAAAAUGGAAGAGACUGCUUGCUGGGUGUUCGUCAAAAUGGAGUUAGAUGGUCUGUCCCAGACUCCCCUGUUGUUAGUUCUGAGAACAGAAGUAAUGGUGCUUCUUCAGGACUGGCUCAUAGAAACCUGCCGUGUUCAGCCCCCACAAUCCUCUCCCUUCUGCUGGCUGGAAACAAAUGACAACGAAGCCUCACGUCUUGGAGAAACCACACUGCUGAGGAACUCAAGUCCUAGAAGAACCAUUUGAAGAGACCCAUCUCACUAAAGAAAAUCACACAAGCAAGAAGUAAACUUCAUUGUAUCUAUGUAUUUAAUUGUCAUAACAGUCUACCUUAACUGAUACAGCAAAAAUUCGCUCCUUUUCUGGACACCCAGUUUCAAAAUCUCAGUGUCAUUUUUUACUUCUCUCUUUUCAGGUUGUUUAAUAUAAUAAAAUUUGUGUGUGUGUGUGUGUGUGUGUGACAAGGUCUUGCUCUGUUGCCCAGGCUGGAGUGCAAUGGCACGCUCCCAGCCCACUACAGCCUUGACCUCCAAGCUCAAGUGUUCCUCCCACCUCAGCCUCCAGAGUAACUGGGACUACAGGCAUGGGCCACCACACCCGGCUAAUUUUUGUACUUUUUGUAGAGACAGGGUUUCACCAUGUUGCCCAGGCUGGUCUUGAACCCCUGGGCUCAAGCGAUCUGCCCAUCUCCACCUCCCAAAAUUCUAGGAUUACAGGCGUGAGCCACUACACCCAACCAUUUUAUUUUUAAAAGUUUUCUUUGCAAUAUUGCUCACAUUGUUUCCUUCCUUUUUAUUCUUAUUGUCACUCCCAAGUUCAGGCUUUUACCUCUUUUAUUUGAAGUAUUAAAGUAUACUUCUAAGUCAUUUCUGUGGCUUAAAUUUAUUUAAUCCACUCCAUCCUGCAUCCUACCAACACAAUAACAUUGUUUCAUCAUUUCAAAUUGAAAUCGAAACUCUCCAAAGCUUUCCUACUGCUGAAUGGAUAAAAACACAAAAUCCUCAAUAGAGAAUUCACUUUCUGGAGCCAACUUACCUUUCCAAAUAUUUCCCAUUAUUCCCUAAGAGAAUCCUCCUGACAUACUCACUGUUUUUCAUAUACACUAGACCUUUUCUCAACCACCUAUUUGUCCACACAUUUUUCUUCCAGCUAGAAUAUUAUUUUCCCUUUCUCACUUCUGAAAGUCUUACCUGUCAUUCAUGGUUCAUCUCAAGCUCAAUCUUCUCCUUGAAACCUUUAAGCAUACCCUCCUGGAAAGUUAUCUCCCUCACCUCGAACCACCCCCCCAGCCCCUGCCAGAAUCUCCUAUAGGGCUGAUUGUUUAUCCUGCUUAUUAUAUAUUUAUAAAACACUCCACUGAGUUAUUAAUUACCUUUUCCUUGACUGUGAAAACAUGACUCUGGCUUCAAGGUAGGACCAUUUUUUCUCUAACACUGUGUCUCAUACACUUCAGCACAAGCUCUUAGUGGCCUGUGCAUUCAACUCCCAUGCAUAGCCACUUCCUCCAGGCAAACCCCACAGCCAGCAUCCAAAUUUUAAAAGGGGUUCUGUCAUCAACCCAAAGUUUCUUCUCUCUCAAGGAACCUAGAUUUAGAAGUUGAGUCUAGGCCACCUGUCUAAGAUACAGUAGUUAAUUUAACAUAUUUUAUUGCUCUCAACAUCACAGAGAAAGAGCCUUACUGCAGAUCUCAUUCUUUCCUUCAAAGCCAGUUUGCCCAUUCCUCUUCAGAAACCUUUAAGAGUGGUUAUUGGGAGAGAUGAUAAGACUCCAUCUGCUUAAGGAGUCCCUCUAACCCAGAAUAGUAGAUGUAAACACCUGACAUGUUGUUAUAGAGUGAAUGUUUGUGUUCCCCUCCAAUCCAUAUGUUGAAAUUCCAAGCCCCAAUGUGUUCGCAUUGGGAGGUGAGGCCUUUGGGAGGUAAAUAGAUCAUGAAGGUGAAGUCUUCAUGAAUGGAUUAGUGUCCUUAUAAAAGAGACCCCAGAGAGCUCUCUCAUCCUGUUUCUGCCAUGUGAGGACACAGCAAGAAGUUGGUCAUCUGCAACCUGAAGUGGCUCCUCCCCAGAAACUGAAUCUGCUGGGGUCUUAAUGGUGGGCUUCCCAGCCUCCAGAAUUAUGAGUGUAAAUGUUUGUUGUUUAAGCUACCCAGUCUAGGGUAGUUUGCUAUACUACCCCAAACUGACUAAGAUACAUAUGUUUGUCAUCCACUCAGUUGUUUUCCUAAAAUAAAUGAAGUCAGCUCCAAAGAUGAAUUUUCAUCUCUUUUUGUAGAGAUGGGUGCUAUUAUGCUUUUUAAUGAACGUUUAUUCACAAAUAAAAACAAAACAUACCUCUCACAUCCUCAGAGCAAAUACUUACAGUAACAUACAUUGAUGCUCACAAGCUCAUUACAUUUCAUGUUUACUAUUCAUUGAUAACAUUACAUUUAUUAUUAUCACAUAAACCAUACCUCCUGUUUAUGAAGCACUUAUGGUGUUUUAGUCAAUGUUAUGGUACCUGCUAUAUAUGGUCUCUAAUUUUAUUUUAACUUCCUAUAGUAAACAAUAUUAGGUGCUAACUCAAUAGUCAUUUUCUAACCUGAUUUUUCCUUGCAAACAGAACCCCAAAUUUGUUUGGAGAGAAAUGUGUCCAAAUCCAAACAAAGCAUCACCAUUUCUUUGAACCAUCAUAAGGAUCUAAUCAUUUUUUUUGUUUUCCUAGCCUCCCUCUAGCCAGAGAUACUGGGUAACACAGUUCUGGCUGAGAAGACAAGAGAAGAAAUCUGCUAAGCAUUUCUGGAAAAAGUUUUGAUUUGCUGAUGAAAGGGAACAGACAUACUGGUUGCCUUCCUUUUCCCUUUCAGCUGCCUAGUCGCCAUUUUGCAAUGUGAAACAACAUCAUUAAGGAAAGAUCAAAACAAUUGCAGAGAUGUCAACCAUCAUGCCUUUGAAUUCAUGCUCACAGUUGUCUGCCUCCAGAUUCAGUUAUAUUUGAGGUACUCUUUGAGUUAAGAUCCUUCUCAUUUUAUACCACUUGCAGCUGAACACACUCCCCACUAAUUUACCUUGUAAGGUGAAUUUCACUUAAAGGAAGAACACAUAAGUCAGGGAAUGACACAUAAUAGUAAAUGCAGGGUUUUUUUUUCUAUUUAUGAUAUAGAUUUAUACAACUGCUAUGUUCUUGACAUUGUACCAAUUUCAAGGUACAAAUAAGACAUAAUCCCUAAAAGCAUGGGUUACAAAAUCUGGGUUCAGCAUAGGGUUUCAUGAUAAACAAACAAACACAAAUUGUUUUUUAUUGUAUUUCCUUCUUCUUCACAUCUUGUGAAUCUAAGAAAAAUAUCAGAAUGUUCGUUUCAGCUCAAUUUUUGAAGAGUACAAUCUCUAAGUAAAAAGAAACUGUAAAUGUUUAUAAAUGUAACUAGAGCCUAGUAGAAAAUAAAGCCAUGCAAGUGUGUUUAGGUCCUAAUCUUAUUAACCAGAUUAGUGACACACAGUCUGCCCAAAGUUAAUGAAAGCAGUGAGGUUCUUUGACUUCAGUAGAUACACACCUGAACCACAGAGAUAAACUUGCUUCAAACCUGUGCGAUAUGUUUUUCUAAGCAUAAAAUUGAGCAUGAUAGCUCCAAUUUCAGUCUCAGUUUCAAAGCUUCCCUUUCCCGAAUAAGAGGCAAACUGUCACAUUAAAUUUAGCGAAUUAAAAUCAGUUAACUUGAAAAGCUCUUGGCCCCAAUGCAGAGAAAAUUGUUUGCAUAAUAAUAACUUAUUUCCUUUUUUAAAAGGCGGACUUCUGCCUGAAUGCUUCUAUAAACUUUUAAGAAAAUGGGAUUCUCAAAUCUCAAGCGUAUUGGGUUGCAGUUGGCACUUGAAGCUGGGGACAUGCAGAGCUGGCUAAUGUCAGCAGCUGUAGGACUGUCAAGAAAAAUAGGUGGAAGGGACACUUUUAUUAUAAGUAGACUUGCAAGGCAUUCCAACUUUCAGCUGCUCAACCCAGUAUACCAAACACCUCUGACUACCUCAAGUGUGGCCUUGCUGAGUGCUUCCAUAUUUAGGGGUUAUUAGACAGGACUGAAGCAAGUGACCUCUAAUGAGGAAGCAAUCAGGGCAGGCUCUGACCCUCCUCAGAGGUACUGUAAUGAACUGGCCUUGGAAGGUCUUUGAUGCUGCCUUUGCAUACUGUAUAUGAGCUUUCUGCUCAGUCAUUUCCUCUGCGCUCUGGUAGCACAGCAUGAAGCCUGCUAUUAGAAAAAAGGUUUAUUGCUACCUUGCAAACAUUUAUUGGGUAAUAUCUAAAACAUGGUGUCAAGUUAUAGUAAUGCGCUGUUCUGGGAAACUUUUUGAGAAUUUUAGUGUUUCAGAAGAUGGUCCUUUGAGAAUUCUUCUGUUUCAGAAAUGAAAAGUGGUAGAUAUAUACGUGUGUGUGUAUAAUAUGCUCAUGUAUCCUCUGAUUACUUGCCAGAGAUGUACCAUUUUUCUUUCAAGGGAAACAUCUAUUCCUAAGAUAGAUUAUUCUUGAAAUUUUCAAAGAGUAUGCCUCAGAGAACAAAUAUACAAAUUUACCAUUUGUCUGCAGAUAUUAUUUGCCUGUGUUUAUGCUAGGUCACUGACACCACACACAUUUUAAUCCCCAAGGGAAUUUAUUUGGUGGUGUUAUCUACUCAACCAAGCUGAAGCUUAUCUAGUUCACAAGAAAAUAGUCAAUAUGAGCUCCAUGCAGACUUAUGCUGUUAAUGCAGAAGAGGGAAAGAGAAUUUACCUUUAACUGUUAUGAUGAAAAUGUGUACAAUGACACUUAACUAUGGCAUGCAAAUCCUCUUUUCCUCCCCCACAGGUAUCUGGAAAGUACCUUAUACAGCUAGGUGCUUAGAAAAUGUUUAUUGAUUAAAUAGAUGAUGAUUAACAGAUUAAUAAAAGGUGAAAGUUACUAUCUAUGCAUUUUUUUCCAGUUUGAUGUUCAAAAACUUACCAAUGGAUGGGGAGUUGCUUUUCAUAAACAAUUUAUAAAGCACUGUCCUGGAUGAAAUUGUAAAAAGGACGUGGUGUCAAAGAUGACUCAGUGGAGUUGAGGUGAAAAAUGUGUAAUGAGCAAAUCAUGGUAAUUGGGAUAUCCAUCACCUCAAACCCUUAUCAUGUCUUUGUGUUGAGGACAUUUCAAAUCUUCCCUUCCAGCUAUUUUGAAAUAUACAACAAAUUAUUGUUAAGUGUAGCCACCCUAGUGUGCUACUGUACACUAGGACUUACUUAUUCCUUCUAUCUAACUGUAUUUUUGAACCCAUGAACCAACAUCUCUUUGAUUUCCAGCCUGGGCUUUGGUGUCCCUUUUUUUGUGUGUUUUCAUAGGGCCCUAUAUUUAUAUUAUUUGGGCUCAACACAUUGCAAAACUGCAGAGGAGUUUACUAUUAUGCACAUUAUUAUUCUAUAUUCUGUCACUCUAAGAAACAAUAAGUGACCAUCUGAAGAGACCAUCUUCUAGCACCAAAAUAUUUAAAGAUGAUUAAGAAUAAGACAAGGGUCUCCUUAUUUACAAAAUGACAUAAUUGAAAGGACUAGAUUAUUAGCAACCCCUCUGGAAAAGGAUUACUCUUUUGGAUUUUAAUUACAUAACUAAUAUAUCAACUGAAGUGCUAUGCCCUGACGUGUGCUCCCCUCAGCUUCACGAUCCAUAUGUUGAAACCCAACCCCUUAAUGUGAUGGCAUUUGGAGAUGGGGCUUUGGAGAUAUUAGUUAGGUUUAGAUAAGGUCAUGAGAAUGGGGCUCUUAUGAUGAGAUGAGCACCUUCAUAAAAAGAGACACGAGGUAUUUCUCUUUUCUCUCUUCUCUCUCUCCCUCUUUCCCUCCCUCCCUCUCUCCUCCUUCUCUGUCUUCCUCCUUUAUGUGAGGACAUAGCCAGAAGGCAGCUGUGUCUGCAAGCCAGGAAGAAAGCCCUCACCAGGAAUCAACUAUAUCAGCACCUUGAUCUUGAACUUCUAUCCUUAGAACAGAGAGAAAAUGAAUUUCUAUUCUUGAAGCCACCCAGCCUACGGUAUUUUGUUAUGGCAGUCAAGCUGAAUAAGAUAUAUAUCUACACUGAGACCAUUAAAAGUAGUUCCUGAUUGGCAGAAAGGUUGUAUAUAUAAAUGGCUCAUUGAAAGUUCUCACUGCAUGGAUGAGAAAUCUCAGAUUGAGGUUCUUAAAUUUUGAAAAAUAGAAAUAAAGGAAUUAACGCAACAGUCUUCUAAUCUUUCUGCCUUCAGUUUUUGCUCCCUUUGACUAUUCUCUGUACACUGCAUCCAGAGGUUAUAUUUUGACAGGGAAAUUCAAAUGAUGUAUAUUAUUUUUCUACUCAAAAUCUCCCCACUGGCACCCUAUUGUCCUAAAGCAUAAACUGCUAUUGCAGUCAAUUCACCUGAAAUAAGCUCUCUUCCUGCCGCGUCUUUUACAUAGAUUGUUUACUCCUCUUGUGAUCCCAGUUCCCUGCUUCUCCCUCUCCUCCACACUUUUCAAUAAUUAAAUUAUACUCAGCGUUCAGAAUUCAGUCAGGAUAUCCUACCUUCUUUGGUCAGCCCCCCAGGGUUUUCUGAAAGCUGGGAAGAGGCCCUCUUCUGCAAUCCCCAUGCACUGUAGACACAUCCCCUUUAGGUCCCUAUGUUGUGAGUGACUGUUUUCUUGUCUGUCUCUGCCACUAUAUUAUGCACUCUUAGAAGGCAAGGACUACUUCUCUUCAUUGUAUACCUAGAACUUAACCCAAAAACUGGCAUGUGCAUGCACCCAAGUUUUCACUGAGAAAAUAAUUGCAUGAGUCACUUGCUUUCCAGGUCUUUCUGACUACUAUGAUGGUGAUGACUUGUAGUCACAACAUGAAAUUGGUUUCUGCCCCUGAGGAUUGUAUCUCUCUACUUUGCAUGACCCCUAGAUUUCAAUCCCUCUUUAUUCUCUCCUGAUCCUUGGGUUCCAGUAAUUCUCUGGGUUUCAAAUAUAAGCACAGUGUGAGGAGCUCUUCAUUCUUGACAGAACUUUCAGGCAAGAAAGAAAUAGAUUCCUGGGAAUAUCUAUAUUCCCUCUGGCCCUAUUCCUUACUCCCAAAACAUAAUAACCCUUUUCUUAGGUUUUUUCUCUCUACCUUUUUACUUCUUCCUUAUUCUCACGAUUACAUGAAUUAACUGCCUACAGAGUAUGAAUUCAGACUGAAUUAAUAUGUAUUUAUGUGACAUAAAAGAUCUCUUUCAGUACUUCUUAAUCUUACCAAAUGAUGCAUACUAUACAAUAAAAAAUUGCAAUUUUUUCAUUAGCUUUUUUUUUUUUUUUUGGUUUCUGGUAGGGUUUUCCUUUAGUGGUAUUUUAGCAAGUAAUACAAUCCAGUUAUUUUUAAAAGUAUAUUAGUAGAAACUCACCAGAAGUCAAUAUACUGGUCCAAGAAUAAUUAACUGAUUGACUUUAUUGUUUAUGAAACUUUGUAAUGUUCCUUUUGAUGUGAAUGCUUAUCUUAGGGGGAAAUGCACUUUUCAAAUAUAAAUGAUCAUGUUUAAACAAACUGCUUCUAGUUUCAAAUAUGGCACUGAAAAACAAAAUAAAAUAAACACUCAAUUUUUAUUUAAAAUGGUGGGCAAUUUACUUUCUUUUUUGUUUGGGAUCUGAUUCAAGAGCCUCAAUUCAGCUUAUUGCAGAACUAACUAAACUAAACCUCAAAGGAAAAAUUUUAAAAAUGAUUUUUAUAGCAAUGACAUCAUUAUAUAAAAUGUUGGCAUUUCAUAUUUUCCAAACAGAAACUUGGAAAUAACAGAAUACAAGUUAAAUAAAACAAAUUGAAACUAAUCCAAUUCUCUGUUUUUCUUUCCCUUUUUAAAAACCAAGCUUUUUAUUGCCAGCUUUUACUUUGCAUAAUAAUAUAUGAUGAAUUGUCCAAGAAAGACCCAGUGGGUACAUUUCUCUUAGAAAUAAGCCUCUCUAUGCAAUAGGAGGCCAAGUUCUAGGGCAACAUACUUAUAUAAUCAUGUAAGAUUUUCCUUAUUGCUAACAAUUGACCAACCUGGGCAUUUGUCAAAUAUGUAAACACAUGGAGGUCACUGGUCACCAGAGGAUUGAAAACACAAAUCACUCUAUUCAUAUCCAUCCCUAGUUCUAGAAAAACAAUACCAAAUUAAAGCAUAUAUCCUACUAGCAAUAGGACUAGCAAAAUUAUUUUGGUAUACCAGAGCUACAUGUUAUACAUUUUGCUACUUAUGGAUUUAAUUACUCAGGAUAAUUAUACACAUGGCUACAACUGUAAACUUUAUAAUAUUUUGCUGGCAUACCUUCCAAAAGAGUUUGAAAAGCUAUGAAUUUAAUUCUAUAUUUGCAUUUGACAUAUAAAGUAC